rnacentral:miRNA from 1 species
UGUGAUCUUGAAGAACGUGGGC